rnacentral:rRNA from 1 species
CGCGUAGGCGGUUUUUUAAGUCAGAUGUGUAAUCCCCGAGCUUAACUUGGGAACUGCAUCUGAGACUGGAAGGCUAGAGUACUGGAGAGGGUGGUGGAAUUCCUCGUGUAGCGGUGAAAUGCGUAGAGAUGAGGAGGAACACCAGUGGCGAAGGCAGCCACCUGGACAGUAACUGACGCUGAGGCGCGAAAGUGUGGGUAGCAAACAGGAUUAGAUACCCUGGUAGUCCACGCUGUAAACGAUGAACACUUGGUGUGGAGGGAGUUGACCCCUUCCGUGCCGGAGCUAACGCGUUAAGUGUUCCGCCUGGGGAUACGGUCGCAAGGCUGAA